UACGAAGGGGGCUAGCGUUGCUCGGAAUCACUGGGCGUAAAGGGUGCGUAGGCGGGUCUUUUAGUCAGGGGCGAAAUCCUGGAGCUCAACUCCAGAACUGCCUUUGAUACUGAGGAUCUUGAGUUCGGGAGAGGUGAGUGGAACUGCGAGUGUAGAGGUGAAAUUCGUAGAUAUUCGCAAGAACACCAGUGGCGAAGGCGGCUCACUGGCCCGAUACUGACGCUGAGGCACGAAAGCGUGGGGAGCAAACAGG
rnacentral:rRNA from 1 species